GAUGAAGAACGCAGCGAAAUGCGAUACGUAGUGUGAAUUGCAGAAUUCAGUGAAUCAUCGAAUCUUUGAACGCACAUUGCACCUCUCGGUAUUCCGGGAGGUAUGCCUGUUCGAGCGUCAUUUGUACCCUCAAGCUCUGCUUGGUGUUGGGUGUUUGUUCCGCCUCUGUGUGUGAACUCGCCUCAAAACAAUUGGCAGCCGGCGUACUUGUUUCGGAGCGCAGCACAUUUUGCGAUCCAGAUCAACGUACAGCGGCAUCCAAGAAGCCUUAUUUAACGCUCUUGACCUCGGAUCAGGUAGGGAUACCCGCUGAACUUAAGCAUAUCAAUAAGCAGAGGA
rnacentral:misc_RNA from 1 species